rnacentral:rRNA from 1 species
GCUAUGACGGGUAUCCGGCCUGAGAGGGUGAACGGACACACUGGAACUGAGACACGGUCCAGACUCCUACGGGAGGCAGCAGUAGGGAAUAUUGCUCAAUGGGCGAAAGCCUGAAGCAGCAACGCCGCGUGGAGGAUGAAGGUCUUCGGAUUGUAAACUCCUUUUCUAAGAGAAGAUUAUGACGGUAUCUUAGGAAUAAGCACCGGCUAACUCCGUGCCAGCAGCCGCGGUAGUACGGAGGGUGCAAGCGUUACUCGGAAUCACUGGGCGUAAAGAGCACGUAGGCGGCCUUGCAAGUCAGAUGUGAAAUCUAACGGCUUAACCGUUAAACUGCAUUUGAAACUGCAAGGCUAGAGUAUGGGAGAGGUAGGUGGAAUUCUCGGUGUAGGGGUAAAAUCCGUAGAGAUCGAGAGGAAUACUCAUUGCGAAGGCGACCUGCUGGAACAUUACUGACGCUGAGGUGCGAAAGCGUGGGGAGCAAACAGGAUUAGAUACCCUGGUAGUCCACGCCCUAAACGAUGAAUGCUAGUUGUUGCCCUGCUUGUCAGGGCAGUAAUGCAGCUAACGCAUUAAGCAUUCCGCCUGGGGAGUACGGUCGCAAGAUUAAAACUCAAAGGAAUAGACGGGGACCCGCACAAGCGGUGGAGCAUGUGGUUUAAUUCGAAGAUACGCGAAGAACCUUACCUGGGCUUGACAUUGAUAGAAUCCUGUAGAGAUACGGGAGUGCCAGCUUGCUGGAGCUUGAAAACAGGUGCUGCACGGCUGUCGUCAGCUCGUGUCGUGAGAUGUUGGGUUAAGUCCCGCAACGAGCGCAACCCCCGUUCUUAGUUGCUAACGGUUCGGCCGAGCACUCUAAGAAGACUGCCUUCGUAAGGAGGAGGAAGGUGGGGACGACGUCAAGUCAUCAUGGCCCUUACGCCCAGGGCUACACACGUGCUACAAUGGUGUGCACAAAGAGACGCAAUACCGCGAGGUGGAGCCAAUCUUUAAAACACAUCUCAGUUCGGAUUGUAGUCUGCAACUCGACUACAUGAAGCUGGAAUCGCUAGUAAUCGUGACUCAGCCAUGUUACGGUGAAUACGCUCCCGGGUCUUGUACUCACCGCCCGUCACACCAUGGGAGUUGUAUUCGCCUUAAGCCGGGACGCUAAACUGGCUACCGUCCACGGCGGAUGCAGCGACUGGGGUGAAGU